rnacentral:lncRNA from 1 species
UAAAACCUAAUAUGUGAAUUUGGGACCAUUUGAUCACUAGAUUAUAAAUAAUGUUAUAAAAUUAUGAAAUACUACUUUUAAAAAGUUCAAGCAGCUUAGAUUGUAUUUAACAGAGUUCAUCAUCAAUUCAGAUAUCUUAAAGUUGAAAACAAUAUAAAGUAAAUAUAUGUUUUUUUUCACUUCUGGGAUGUACAAGUAAAAUUUUCAGGCGCUGCUCACAUCAAUUAUUUAUUGUACGAAUACUUACUAUGCCUUGGUGGGUCCACCUAAGACGACUAUGUUUACAUCUAACAAUGUCUCACUUGACCAAAAACUCUAUAUUUUUUUGUUGGAAUCGCUACGUGUCAUGUACAAAAAUGCCAUUAAU